rnacentral:lncRNA from 1 species
UUUUUGCUGAUUUCAACAUGCAUUCAAUACAUUAUAGGUCUAAUUCAUAACCUUCUUAUUGAUUGUAUCUCUGAAAAUAUAAGUUCUACAUAAAUCAAUUUAUUUGAUAAUUCAAAUGCAGUUCAUUGAGUUUUGAAUGCAUAUAAACUUUCAUUAAAAACAGAAAAAGGCUAUAUUAAAUACAUAUCACUCACUUCAUAUUAUCAAAUAAUUCACAAAGUUUCAUACUCCAUCAUUUCAUAUUUUUGUAUUUUUUUUUAUAUUUUUUAUUAAUUUUGGUUAUAGCAUGGUAUAUGUUAAUAAAGCUGAAUUGAGAUCAAGGGGGGUCCAGAUAUGUUUUUGAAGAUCAAUGCUUUUGAAUGGGGACAUAUGGUUGGAACACCCCUCCCCCUUUUUUUCUAAAAAGCUUGAUAUGCCCCUGGAGGUUGUUUGCAUACAUGAUAUCUGUUAUGAUUGAUUAAACUAGGAUACAUUUUUAUAAAUGUUAGUGACUUUUAAUGUAAAUAAGCUAUUUUUGUAUUGAAAUAUUAAAGUAAAAAAGUUGAUGUUU